GUCUACAGCCAUCCCACCCUGAACACGCCUGAUCUCGUCUGAUCUCGGAAGCUAAGCAGGGUCAGGCCUGGUUAGUACUUGGAAGGGAGAAUAAGCAUUUGUCUGGCAAGGGCAGGGUCCUGAGUCC
rnacentral:rRNA from 1 species